rnacentral:rRNA from 1 species
ANCUUUANGCUUGCUAAAGUUGGAAGAGUUGCGAACGGGUGAGUAACGCGUAGGUAACCUGCCUACUAGCGGGGGAUAACUAUUGGAAACGAUAGCUAAUACCGCAUAACAGCAUUUAACACAUGUUAGAUGCUUGAAAGGAGCAAUUGCUUCACUAGUAGAUGGACCUGCGUUGUAUUAGCUAGUUGGUGAGGUAACGGCUCACCAAGGCAACGAUACAUAGCCGACCUGAGAGGGUGAUCGGCCACACUGGGACUGAGACACGGCCCAGACUCCUACGGGAGGCAGCAGUAGGGAAUCUUCGGCAAUGGGGGCAACCCUGACCGAGCAACGCCGCGUGAGUGAAGAAGGUUUUCGGAUCGUAAAGCUCUGUUGUAAGAGAAGAACGUGUGUGAGAGUGGAAAGUUCACACAGUGACGGUAACUUACCAGAAAGGGACGGCUAACUACGUGCCAGCAGCCGCGGUAAUACGUAGGUCCCGAGCGUUGUCCGGAUUUAUUGGGCGUAAAGCGAGCGCAGGCGGUUUAAUAAGUCUGAAGUUAAAGGCAGUGGCUUAACCAUUGUUCGCUUUGGAAACUGUUAGACUUGAGUGCAGAAGGGGAGAGUGGAAUUCCAUGUGUAGCGGUGAAAUGCGUAGAUAUAUGGAGGAACACCGGUGGCGAAAGCGGCUCUCUGGUCUGUAACUGACGCUGAGGCUCGAAAGCGUGGGGAGCANACAGGAUUAGAUACCCUGGUAGUCCACGCCGUANACGAUGAGUGCUAGGUGUUAGGCCCUUUCCGGGGCUUAGUGCCGCAGCUAACGCAUUAAGCACUCCGCCUGGGGAGUACGACCGCAAGGUUGAAACUCAAAGGAAUUGACGGGGGCCCGCACAAGCGGUGGAGCAUGUGGUUUAAUUCNAAGCAACGCGAAGAACCUUACCAGGUCUUGACAUCCCCGAUGCUAUUCCUAGAAAUAGGAAGUUUCUUCGGAANNUCNGUGANNGGUGGUGCAUGGUUNNCGUCAGC